UACGUAGGGAGCAAGCGUUGUCCGGAAUUACUGGGUGUAAAGGGAGCGUAGGCGGGAAGGCAAGUUGAAUGUUAAAUCUACCGGCUUAACCGGUAGCCGCGUUCAAAACUGUUUUUCUUGAGUGAAGUAGAGGUAGGCGGAAUUCCUAGUGUAGCGGUGAAAUGCGUAGAUAUUAGGAGGAACACCAGUGGCGAAGGCGGCCUACUGGGCUUUUACUGACGCUGAAGCUCGAAAGCGUGGGGAGCAAACAGG
rnacentral:rRNA from 1 species